rnacentral:lncRNA from 1 species
AAAAAAAGCUGAUCAAAAUAUUUAUUAAAAAAUAGUUGACAGGUGAAUCAAUGUAUAUACAUUAUCAAGGGUUGAUUCUUACAUAUUCCGUCGAAUGAAUCAUAAUACCAAUAUCACAUUAAUACACAAUUAGUUGAGAAACAUACAAAACACACACACAUAGUAUAUAGUAUAUAUGAACAUAAAAAGAGAUCAUGAUGAGACGUCCCCUUAUUAUAAAGGUGUACCAAACCAAUGAUACUUGAAUUUCCAAGGCGUUGCACCAUCGAUAGAUUCAUAAAUACCAUCUCCCCUUAUAGACCAUCUUAUCCAAUUGCUUCUGUUUUUAUAUUGCUUACCUUCGUACGCGACGAAAGACGCAUUGCGACUGAAAUUAGGACCUGACCAGACGUUGCACCAAUAAAGCGUUUUAUCAAGUAUAUGAUCUUUGAAAUCAAAACCGUAAAAUCCUCCGAAUUUCCUCACGUGCCAUCCCAAAUCGUUGUCUCCUGAUUUGCAAUGGACUUUCAUUAGGAUUCCAUGGCGCACCUGGUUAUACAGAAAGAUCGACCCUCCACUUGCUUGUUCUGUGUAUACGCUUAAAAGGAUCAGGAUUAUUGUUAGACGAAACAUUUUUUUUUUUUGUUUUUUUGUUUUUGUUUCUUUUAGUAAUUGGAUGUUCUGAUGUGUUUAUAAGCGAUUUGGUCAUUGUUUGAAAGGCUGCCCGUAAAAAUUUGACUUCUCGAAUAGAAGUUGGUUGGUCCACCGUCGGUUUUUAUAUACUGAUUGCAUUUUACCAUUAAUUAAAAAUAAAUAAAGAAAACAAUAUGUUUAGCAGUUCUGUCCCAAAAAAAAAAUUCUUUUGUGAGGUUACGGUCUUAAUUCUUAAACUAGAUUUUGAUCUGCGCAACCGCGCAGAUGUUUGUUUUCACUUUUCUAUACAUAAAUUAUUAUUUUAUAACAUUAAUGGUAUAUAUUUUAACGUUAAUCAUAUACUUAAAUGUUUAUAUAACUAUUUCAAAUACAAUAAUUUUAUAAUUUACAUGUUAUAAUUAAUCAAUUGUUUAAAACCGUAUGUAUUUGUCACUUCUUAUUAUAUGUUUAUCUUAUUAUAUUUGCAUUUAGAUAUUAAGCACAAUUUUAAUAUAUUCAUGAGAAAACAUAUUUCAAAAUUAUUUUGUAUUUAAUUUAUGCUAAAUUCUGACCCGUCUUUCAAAGUUGGAUUUCUUUUUACCAAUAUUUUUGUACUUAUUCAUUUUAGAUAAUAUAUUAUUGUAUAUAUAAAAGUCUAAGAUAUGUUAAUUUUUAGACAUGUAUUAUACAGUCUAAAUUUAUCAAUUGAAUAUACUUUUAACAUAUUUAAGUAUAAUAAUUUUAUGUUAACAUGAUCAUGACUAUAAAGUAGAUAUAAUUUAUUUAUUUUUUCAUUUUAUAAUCGAUAACUUAAAAUACGUUAAGUUAUUGUUAAAAUAUUUUACACAGAUUUAUUAGAAUUUUUAAAAUAUAAUAUAUAAAUAUAUAUUAUAUUUAAAAUGAAACUAUAUUAUGAUUAAAGUAGUUACAAAUUUUUUAUAUUAUUAGCUUUAAAGAAAUACAUGUUAAUUUUUAUAAAUGUAUUAUAUAGUUUGCUAAUGUUAACCUAUCUUACCAACAUAUUAGAUUUUAUUUUUGAACAUAAAUAUUUUAUACUUACGAAAAUAAAAUAUUUAAAAUAUAUAAAUUUAAUAUAAUUUUAUUAUAUUUAGCUCAACAUAGUAAUUUUCUUUUAAUAUGAUUGAUUAUGAUUAUAUAAUAGAUAAAAUAUUAUAUAAAUUUUUAUUUUUCAUUUUAUAAAUGAUAACUAAAUAUUAAUGUAUAAUAAUUAAUUUUGAAAUUAAUGAAAAUAUUUAAAUAUAAUUUCAAAAAUGAAGAUCUUGUAAAAAUCUUUUAAAACAAAUUUGUUCAAAUUUUAAGAUAAAUAUAAUUAUAUUUAAAAUGAAAAGAUAUCAAAAGAUAUUAUGAUUAAAAUAUUUUAAGGAUUCUAUGUAUUAUUAGUCUUAAUAAGAUUUCUAGUAAUGGUCCAAAUUAAAAAAUCACGCAUGAAAGAAGUCAUAACUUCUAUUUUAAUAUAUAAGAUAAAUCAAAUUCAAAUGAUGUUAACUAAUCCGAAUUUAGAUGUUUGUUUUCACUUUUCUAUACAUAAAUUAUUAUUUUAUAACAUUAAUGGUAUAUAUUUUAACGUUAAUCAUAUACUUAAAUGUUUAUAUAACUAUUUCAAAUACAAUAAUUUUAUAAUUUACAUGUUAUAAUUAAUCAAUUGUUUAAAACCGUAUGUAUUUGUCACUUCUUAUUAUAUGUUUAUCUUAUUAUAUUUGCAUUUAGAUAUUAAGCACAAUUUUAAUAUAUUCAUGAGAAAACAUAUUUCAAAAUUAUUUUGUAUUUAAUUUAUGCUAAAUUCUGACCCGUCUUUCAAAGUUGGAUUUCUUUUUACCAAUAUUUUUGUACUUAUUCAUUUUAGAUAAUAUAUUAUUGUAUAUAUAAAAGUCUAAGAUAUGUUAAUUUUUAGACAUGUAUUAUACAGUCUAAAUUUAUCAAUUGAAUAUACUUUUAACAUAUUUAAGUAUAAUAAUUUUAUGUUAACAUGAUCAUGACUAUAAAGUAGAUAUAAUUUAUUUAUUUUUUCAUUUUAUAAUCGAUAACUUAAAAUACGUUAAGUUAUUGUUAAAAUAUUUUACACAGAUUUAUUAGAAUUUUUAAAAUAUAAUAUAUAAAUAUAUAUUAUAUUUAAAAUGAAACUAUAUUAUGAUUAAAGUAGUUAAUUUUUAUUUUUCAUUUUAUAAAUGAUAACUAAAUAUUAAUGUAUAAUAAUUAAUUUUGAAAUUAAUGAAAAUAUUUAAAUAUAAUUUCAAAAAUGAAGAUCUUGUAAAAAUCUUUUAAAACAAAUUUGUUCAAAUUUUAAGAUAAAUAUAAUUAUAUUUAAAAUGAAAAGAUAUCAAAAGAUAUUAUGAUUAAAAUAUUUUAAGGAUUCUAUGUAUUAUUAGUCUUAAUAAGAUUUCUAGUAAUGGUCCAAAUUAAAAAAUCACGCAUGAAAGAAGUCAUAACUUCUAUUUUAAUAUAUAAGAUAAAUCAAAUUCAAAUGAUGUUAACUAAUCCGAAUUUAAACUCGACGAAGUAUAUAUAAUUGAUGUGGACAAAAGUAUAACUUUGAUUUGGUGAACUCCAAAAUUGUAUAACUCUAAUAAUGCAAGUGUCAGAGACCAGCUACACUAGUUAAAAACAAGAACAGCAGAAAAAAGUAAAUCCAGAUUAGGUUCCAGAAUAAGAAGACAAGACAGCACCCAAGUUUCAAUUUGCAUACAUAGCCGUUACAAUGUCGCUUGUAUAGUUGUAUAGUAGCAAGAUCACUCGUUAGCUCUCAUUGAAGCAAAAACGCCCUACACAUAUUAUAGAACAUUGUGAAUUUGUGGUUGGAUUAUAGCACCUGUUUCAACAAAGAAUGAAGGCUUUAGACGAUUUUCCAUCAGAAGUCCCUUCGCAUCUUAUCCUUAAGUGAGACUUCUUUGUAUGAUUUGAUUUUUCCUGCAGCUUGCCUUGAAGGUCUCCCAACAUAUGUUUCUCUCAUCUCCUCUGCUUCAUCGCCUGUUGGUUUGUUCUUUGAUUCUCUUUUAAGCUCUGUUGAAACUGAAGAUGAUACCUGACUAGACUCCUCAACAAUGUCAUCGUGCAACGGAGGAUCUGUGGAUACUUUGAUGUCUCUCUGAGAUGUAACUUCUGUCGAAUGUCUUCUUGAAGAGACUCUUCUGUCAAGUAUACAUUUAGUUACAACAGUCUUAACUCUUUUAUUCUGAGGAAUAGAUGAAAUUUUAUCUAUCACUACAAAAACCUGCUUCUCCCGGUUAUCUCUUUCGUGUCAUGUAGCUCUACUGUUUCGGGCUUAGACCCGAUGGACAGAUCACUCGCAGAGCAUCUGAAAUGGCAUCAUUUAUGAACAAGUUAUCAAGCAAGAAGAGUGGAAAAGGAGAGAACAAAUGGAGCUUAUACAAACCCGGCUUUUGCAGCAGAUUCUUGAUCAUCAUGUAUACCAAAGUUUUCAGUCACGCCUAGCUCUUGGAUAUUAAAUCUCCUAGACUGUCUUCUCAAAGAAACCCUGAGAAAUAUGAAAAUCGCAAUUUUAGCAACCUUCAAAACGGCACUCUACUUAUAAACAUGGCCUAACGCUUAUUGCAGACCUCCUGAUCAUAUUGGUUGUCUGUGCUGACUCUCCUGGUCUGCCAAUUAUAUCUAAUACUUCGGAAUUGGCGGGAUUCGACCUUCCAGAAACUCUGCUCUAAGGAAAAAAGACAAAUCCAGAAUGACAAGUUUGUACAAGACAGUGGAUGUAACAAAAGGCAGACUUAGCAAGAGAGAAACUGGACCUUUUAUUGUUGGCUUUGUCAUUUAUUUGCAAUGAGUUACAGUCAGAACUCUCUGAAGCUUAAAACAGAACGGUGAUAGGGUAAAGGUUUUAAGAGGUUCCAAUGCUCCACAAUGAUAGCCAAAACGCUACCACUAUAAUCUUAACCGUUGCUUUUCUUACCAGCCUUAUGAUCCUCGCCAUUUGGAUGAAAGACUCCGGAAGCCCCAUGAGAAGCGUUUGCACGAUCCUGAGAGUUACAACAAAAAGUUUGAACAAUCUACUAGUAUGGUGCUAAUGUCCUACUUUCAGAGGUUCGCAAAAGCCAAUGCUCAUAAGUACCUUGUCUUCUGAUGCAUCGUGGUGUGUACAUGGAAGCUUUUGUGGCUGGAAAGAAAAGUUUACACCCUCUCAACUAUGUAAUAAAUAUGGUAAUCGGAAACUAACAUACAAAAUAAAACAGACCUCAAGCGGCAGUUUCCUAGCCAUGAGUACCCCGUUCUUGCAACUAAGUUCGUGCUGAAGUGCCUUCAGCUGAAAUACACAGAAAAUUCCCGCUGAAGAACUUAUAGUUAUUGAUUAAACAGUCCUGUGUUUAAGCAACUUGGGUUCCAGACUAGGAACAUACUUGGUCUUUGCUUGUUCUGAUCUCCUGAAACAAUAAUGAAAAAUAACUUUGGAAACCCAUUGUAACCAAAGAGCUCCCAAAUCAUAUAUCCAAAUCAAUCAAUCAAAAAUGAGAUAUACCGCCAAGAUACGAGUGUUGGUCUGGGAAAGCUGCAAGUUCUGUGCUUGCACCAUCUGUAAGUUGAUCCUAUAUCUCUGCAGCUCACUUCCAGUCCUCUCAAUGAUUGCACUAUGGUCACAAAAAAAACAACAAUAAUCAUUAGCAGCAAAUCAACGUACACAAAAUAGUCACAAGUCUCAUACUUUCUCUCCGUGAGGGCUUUCAUCAGUCUCAUGUUUUCCUGCAAAAAUAAAAAGAGAAUGCGUUUGAAUAAGGUAGAGAACGUCAUAAACAUUUUUAAUGAACUCAAUAAACAUUUGCCUUCUGAAGUUUUUCAGAGAGUGACAAAGAUUGCUGCUGCUGAUUCGCUCCAUGGUUCAGCAUCAUUUUCUGAUUCGGCAAGUUAGUUAUAUCUCCCAGUGUUCUUCUCUGUGCACUGUUCAUCGGAAGAUCCUGAAUCAUCUUCUCUCCUUUCGCUUUGUUAGUAGAAACACCUAUAUAAUUUCAAACGCAACCAAAUCCAAACGUAGCUAAAUCAUCAUACGAACACUCCAAUAUAACAGAAUCAAACUCUAACAAUCGAUAAAGAACAACGAAACUCCAAAGCAAUUAGCUGAGAUUCAAUUUACAAAUCUAGAUCGAAACGAAACCAUAUGAGAUCCGAUUGAAAGGAUCUCUCGAAAUGUGAGCUAAGCAAGGCUAACAUCGAACCUUCAACGGCGUGAUCGUCGACUUUAAGCACCGCCGUUCUCGUUCGCACCAUCGCGAAGGCGGAGUAUAAACCCUAAUGCCCCCUUCGCGUCGCCUCUCUCGGGAUCGGAAUUGAAAAAUUCCGGAGGGAAAAUAAGAAUAUAAUGUCACCAAUUUGGUUCGGUUUAACUUUCACCGGUUCGUUUGCUUUAUUUAAUUUCACCCAGUUUAAACGAUUCACUAUAUUUUGACACGUGAGCGGAUAUAUUUUGACACGUGAGCGGAUGAGGAUUGAUGUUUUUGGUUCGGUUAAAUCUUUAACUGGUUCGCUUGGAUUAUAGGAAUAGACUAUUAGAUUGGUUUACGCGAAUGUCACCAAUUUGGCUCGGUUUAACCUUAACCGGUUCGCUUUCUGUAUUUAAUUUUAAUUAAUGUGCUUAACCGAUUUCAUGGUUUUGGUUUUUAACAGUUUUAACGGUUAAAAGAACCACAGAUUGUUUAGUUAGUCGUUUCCUUCUUUCAAGAACCUCUGAAACGACUCGAAUCUUUCAGAGCGGGGUCCAUGGCGUCUUCGAAGCGUUCGUGGACGUUGUCUUCGUUGCCACCGGAGAUAAUAGAAGAAAUACUCUACAGGGCUCCGCCUGAAUCUCUACUCCGGUCAAAACCGACGUGCAAGCAAUGGCACGCUCUCAUCACCAGCAGAAGAUUCAUCUACGAACACUUGCGUCGCUCCCCGCAAAGAUUCAUAAGAACCGAUGAGACAGUAGUACAGAUCAUGGAUCCGGUGACAAGAAGACGCUCAGAUUCACCACUCCCGAAAGAGCUCCAACGUCCGUACGAUGUAAAUGUGAUGAUACACUGCGAUGGACUCAUGUUGUGUAUGCGUGGUCACUUUCAAUAUAGAAAGACCAACCUCGCGCUUUGGAAUCCCGUUUUGAGGGAACUCAGAUGGAUCAAACCGUCCAAGUGUUUCACGCCUUCUGAUUACUACGGGAUCGGAUACGACAUCAACAAGUCUCGUUAUGAUUACAAGAUCUUGAGGUUUUAUGAGCGCCGCUAUGAUCAUUAUAUGCGUCAUGAUGAUUAUUAUGAUGAAGAUGAAGAUGACGAUGACGAUGAAGCAGAGGUUGAGAUAUAUGAGUGCAAGACUCGUUCGUGGAGAACUCUUGGCGAUGCCAAGGUUGAUUGCUGGGAUGUAGAUAUCACGUGCAAAGGCGUGUCCGUGAUGGGUAACAUGUACUGGUUUGCUCAGAAGUAUUGGGAAGCUGAGAAGAAGCACAGAAGCUACAUUCUAGGUUUCGAUUUCUCAGCUGAAACGUUCAAGGACGUAUGCUUUGCUCCUCCCUCUCGUGGCGAUAAUUAUCUAGCCUGUUUCGAUGGAGAUAGAUUGUCUUUGCUACAGCAAGAUCAAGAAACGACAAGCCCGAUUGAGGUGUGGGUUUCAAGCAAGUUGGCUGGUGAUGGGGAUGUCUUGUUCAGCAAGUAUUUCAGCGUGUCCCGCCCCGAUCUUCCGGCGUUACUGUUCCAUACAGAUAUGGCUCAUCCGGUGUACUGCGUUGGGAAGCACAAACGCGUUAUGGCAUGGUGCGAGGGAGAUGUGUAUGAUGGUGAUGAUAAGAUUCCUCCUACUUGCGUCAUUUUCUAUGAAAUUGAUGAGGGUGGGGUAAGAAGACAGCUUGAGACAGAGCGACACUACGGGUCUGGCUAUUCUGGGACUUUUCUUUGUGGCUACGUAUACGUUCCAAGUCUAGUCCCUCUUCCGGUAUAAGGGGUGGAUAAGAGGGUUUUGGUUCUGUCUUCUAAGCUUUCGUUUUAGUCUUUGUGUUGUUGAUACUCUGCGCUGUAUAUAUGUUACUGAAAAUGACAUUGGUUUUGGUUUUUGUAUGACAAUCUUGAGAGGGUUUAGGUUAUGGUUCACAGAUACUUAUGAAAAUGCAACUUAUGAAAACUGUAAUUAGCUCAAUUUGAAAGAAAAAAAAAAGUCAUUUUGUAGUAAAGUUUGAUUGAAUUCUAUUUAUAUAUAAAGAGUAAAGAAAAAUCUACAGAUUUAUGAAAAACUGCAAUUAGCUCAAUCUGAUAAAAAAAAAGAGAGAAAAAAAGAAAUCAUUUUGUAGUAAAGUUUGAUUGGAUUGUAUUUAUAUAUAAAAAGUAAAGAAAAAUCUACAGAUUACCCCUAGAAAAUAUUUGAAGAAUGCAGAGCAUUGUUUGUUUGUAACAUUUUUCUGAUAAAAACAUUUGUAUUGCAAAUGAGUAACAAACUAAACUGAUCAACAACACUAACAGAUUAUUAUUAGAUUGAAUUCCGGAGGGAAAGAAGAAAGAAAGACACGGUUCGGUUGGGUUUACUGAAACUGACACCCAACAAUCUUGAGAGGGUUUAGGUUAUGGUCCAUAGUUGUAUCAUUUUCAACAAAACUUAUGAAACAUGAUACAAUGCUACUAGUAGGAAAGAGCUUUUCGGAACAAUGAUAAUCAGUCCCUUGUUGAGAAUCUUACUCAGGUUUUUUCACUCUCUUAAUCUUCCUUAUUCUCUAACACUUUUUAUAUGUUUUCUCUGUUUUUGUCUGUGCAAAACUUUAUUUUACCGAACUCAUUUUUCAUUCAUUUUUGCUUUCUUUCUUACAAUCAUGUUUACCGGCGCUAAGCAUGUUUCCUAUACUUCUAGUUCUUAUACUCAUCUAUACUUCUAGUUCUUAUACUCAUCUUCUAGUGUUAAACUUAGUUACCUUACUAGUUACAUACUUCUAGUUUCGUAGACUAAUCUUACUAACUAACUAACUCUUAACAUGAAUAUUCACUUGUAACUACUAGUUACAUAACCAACUUCCUUGUUGACCUUGAUUUUGACUUCUCUUCUUUGGUUCGGUUUAACCUUAACCGGUUCGCUUGCUUUAUUUAAUUUCACCGAGUUUAAACGAUUCAUGUUUUUUGUUCGGUUAAAUCUUAAAUCGGUUCGCUUGGUUUAUAGGAAUAGACUAUUAAUUUGGUUUACGCGAUUGUCACCAAUUUGGUUCGGUUUAACGUUAGCCGGUUCGCUUUCCGUAUUUAAUUUCAUUAAUGUGCUUAACCGAUUCAAGGUUUUAGUUCGGUUGAAUAUUUUUAACUGUUUUAACGGUUAUAAAAGAACGAACCACAGAUUGUUAGUUGCUUCCAAGAACCUCUGAAACGACUCGAAUCUUUCAGAGAGCGCCCAUGGAUUCUCCAAAGCGUUCUUGGUCGUUGUCGACGCUGCCACCGGAGUUAAUAGAAGAACUACUCUACAGGGCUCCGCCUGAAUCUCUGAUCCGAGCAAAACCGACGUGCAAGCAAUGGUACUCGCUCAUCACCAGCAAGAGAUUCAUCUACAAUCACCUCGACCGCUCCCGCAAAAGAUUCAUAAGAACCGUUGGUACGGUGCAAAUCUUGGAUCCGGUGACAAGAACACGCUCAGAGACACCACUCCCAAAAGAGUUCCAACGUCCAUAUGGUGUAAGAACGAUGGUUCACUGCGAUGGGCUCUUGCUGUGUAUGUGUGGUUACUUUAAUUACAGAAACACCAACCUCGCGAUUUGGAAUCCCGUUUUGAAGAAAAUCACAUGGAUCAAACCCUCGACGUGUUUCACAACAUCUGAUUACUACGGGAUUGGAUACGACAUCAAGAAGCCUCGUUAUGAGUACAAGAUCCUGAGGUUUACUGAUCACCUCUAUGAUCAUAAUGUUACGUAUGAUGAAGAUGGACCGGAGGUUGAGGUAUACGAGUGCAAGACAAGCUCCUGGAGAACUCUUGACACCGAGGUUGAUUGGCAAGUAGACCUCUCGUGCAAAGGUGCGGCUGUGAUGGGGAACAUGUACUGGGUUGCUAGUAAACAUGAUGAACAAUAUAUUCUAGGUUUCGACUUCUCCGUUGAGAGAUUCAAGGACGUAUGCUUUUGUCCUCCUCCCGCUUUCAAUAACUAUCUAGCUUGUUACAAUGGAGAUAGGUUGUCUUUGCUACAGCAAGAUGAAGAAGAACCAUGGGAUAUUGUGGUGUGGGUUACAAACAAGUUGGCUGAUGUGGAUGUCUCGUUCACCAAGUAUUUCAGUGUGUCCCGACCAGAUGUUCCGGCGUUACUGGACCAUACAGAUAUGGCUAAUCCGGUAUACUUCAUUGGCAAGCAGAAGCGUAUCAUAGCAUGGUGCGAGCGAGAGGUAUUUGGAGGUGAUGAUGAGAUUCCUCCUACUUGCAUCAUUUUCAAUGAAAUCGAUGAGGGUGGGGUAAGAACACAACUUGAGACAGAACGUCACUGCGGGUAUGGCUAUUUUGGGACUUUCUUUUGUGGCUACGUGUACGUUUCAAGUCUGGUCCCUCUUCCUGUGUAAGAGGUGGACAAGAGAGAGAGAGAGAGAGGGUUUUGUUUCAUGUUCUAAGUUUAGUUUUAGUUUUUGUUUGUUGAUCUUAUGCACUAUAAAAAUGUUACUGUAAUCGACAUUGGCUUUUGUUUUAUGACAUUCUUGAGAGGAUUUUAGGUUAUGGUCUAUAUAGUUGUAUCAUUUUCAACAACACAAAUGAAAUCAUUUGGAAAGUGGUCAUAUGUGGUUGGACCAUAAUAAUUAAUGCUCCACAACGUCAUCUAUUCUAUACUAAAAGCACGAUAUAGAGUGAUUUCACAGUGUCCACGUCGACAAAUUUAUUCGGCCAAUCAAAACAUUUCAAUAAUACACGUAUGACCUCCUAAACUGUUGCUUUUGUAUGGGCUUCAAUGUGGUUUUACUGGGCUUCGUCGGUUUCAAACUACCGGUACAAUUAGAAAAAAAAAACCUGAGACGGAUAACACGAUGCUCUCUCCUCUAUCGCUUCGUCUUCACCGUUUUCUCUCCAUCCUUUCAGUUCUCUCGAUCCUCAUAUUAUAAAUAUUCGGCUUUAAGGAAACGGAGAAGGAAAGAAGGAGACCAUAUGGAAAGACAUGCAUUUGAAGAUCUUCACAACCACAUCAAGAGCUCGGCGGUGAUCGUGACGGAGCCCGAUUUCAACGCCAAGAUCUGCCACUUCGGCACCGGGCAGCUCUGUGGGGAAACAGACGGAUCGAGAGAUUCCAAAGCCGUUUGAUUCGAAGGAGUGAUAGGAUACAUGUCGCCGGAUUUUCAGGCUUUGGGGUUGCGACUCAGGAAUCAGACGUGUUCGCCUUCGGAGUCAUGAUGCUUGAGCUUCUCUCCGGCGAGGAGUCGUUGAAGUAUAGGUAUGAGAAAUCGACCGGGGAUUUUGAACGGACUUUGGUGAUUGAAAUCGCGAAAGCGGUGGUUGACGGCGGAGAUGGUGGUGACGUAGGGGGCGGUUGAGGAGGUGGAUGGAUCGGAGGUUGGGGGAUUCGUUUCCGGUGACGGUGGAGGAGAAGUUAAUGCGGUUGGCGUUGGAGUGCGUCGAGGAUGAGGCGGUGAACCGGCCGGAGAUGGGAAGAGUCACCGGAAAGAUAUCGCAAUUGUAUUUGGAAUCGGAGAAAUGGUUGGCGAAUAUGAAGACUUCCUUUCCAGGUUUCAGAAGUCUCAUUUCUUUGUUAGGAUCGCAGAGUCUGGUGAGCCGCUUUGGUCAAAGAAACCUCUGUGUUGGGAGAUACAAAGCUAGAGGAAAAGCGGGAAAAAGAGACCUUGUGUUAGUGCUUUUUUAGAUAGAGGAGAGUUUGAUCUUAAUGUUGCUGGAGGUGUAGCAAGAAGUAAGGCAAAAUGUUGUGCCUUACCCAAUGGAGACACAUGAUGGUAAUUCUUAUAAGUUGUUGUUUUAACCUACUGAUUCUCACACAAUGCCUUUAUUUGGAAGGGUGAAGGUCUCUUUACAAGUUUAUAUCGCUGACUGUCCCAAUGAACCAAUCAUUGAGAUACUGCAGUUUGAGAAGCAUCAAGACAUGGACCAACUUUCUGAUCAUGAACACAAGGAUCCAUAUGGGAACCUUUUGAAGUGGUUGAUACCGUUGGAUAACACUAUUUCUCAGCAACCCCGUUACCUCCUAUAAGCUCUACCCCAGAUAUCAGCAGCAGUGCACACAAGCCAUUACUCUCUUCUGGCUCAGGAUCUCAGCUCUUCUCAUUCGUCCAUUUUAGAAGCUACUCCAUGUUAGCUCUGCCGGCGCCGUGUUUAUAGUUUCUGUACGUAUGUGUUUGUGGAAGGUAAAGGUCUUUCUUUUUGAAUGUGGGUGUGGCUAAUGAGCUCAAGUGUUGUGGUUUCAUGGCUCAUGUUGUUCUUUUUUGUGUAGCUUAAGCGUUUUGGUUUCAUGUCUUACAGCAGUGCACACAAGCCAUUACUCUCUUCUGGCUCAGGAUCUCAGCUCUUCUCAUUCGUCCAUUUUAGAAGCUACUCCAUGUUAGCUCUGCCGGCGCCGAACACUGCACCAGUUACUGGACCGUAAAAACUGAAAGCUCCAAACCAUCAUUUGACCUUGAAGACUGGAACUGUUACUCAGGUCAAACAUUAUGGAACGGUCACAAGUCUGGGACUGAAGAGCGCUUAUCUUUCCGGGGUGUCCCUUUGGAGCGGGAUAAAUUCUCUGUUCGUUGUGGACGUGAAGGCAUAUGCAUUCCUGGUAAGAAGAUGGAGGAAGAAACUCGAAAUCAUUCAACCUAUUGAUAUCAAUUCUUUUACAGCUGAUUGUAAUACAGAUAAACAUUUAAUAUAAAUAGUUUUAAAUUUUUAUAAUAAAUUCUAAUGUAUAUAUGUAACAUAGUCAUAUUUAAUAUAAUAUGGGUAUAUUUUGUUAACUCUUUGGAGGUUCAAUCUUGACGGACAAGAGGGAAUAGCAGAGCAUAAAUCCCAGUGAUAUAUUGAUGGGCUUUAAAACAAAAGAAAUGUCAAAAAAUGUUGAUUACAUACAAUCUGUAUCACCUGUUUACGAAUUUAUAAACAUAAACAAAGAAAUAACUAUUUAAUAUCACUAAACUUCAAUUUGAAAUAAACUUUAGUAUCACUAGGCACAAGCUAGGUUUUUAGAUUUGUGGAAUCAUAACAAAACGAGAAACAAAAAGAAUGGAAAAAAGCUCAAGGAAAAUGAUACAGUCAAAUAAGUGGCGAUGUAAAUUAGACUGAAGUAAAAGUAAAAUAAAAAAAAACCAUUAUACAAAGUCGAAUAAGGUGGCACUACAAAUAAGUAAAUGAUAGGAAGAGUAACAAAAGAGUUUGUAGCAAAGACGCAAAGAAAAACACAAGAAAUUCAGAUAAGGAAAAAAAUAGAAAUUAAAAAUUGUUAGUAAAAUGGAAAAUUCAAGAAUCAUAUACAGUAUCAAAACCUUAAAACAACACAAAUGAACCCCGUAGGCAAUAAGUAAAAUCAGUGACCACAUCAAAACACAAAAUUCACAAAUACGGUAUCACUUACAAAUAUUAUCGUGACACAUAACAAUUAUAUAUUUAAAAUUGUGACAUUUGUUAAUAUAUUUCAUAAUUAAAGAUAAAUUACAUUUACGUAUUAUAUAUUUUUUACAUAUUAUAAAAUAAUAAGUAUAUUUUAUAAUUAAAAAAUUCAGUAACAAUUACAUUUACGUAUUAUAUGUUUUUUUGUGGAAUGUUUAAUAGUUUUAGUAAUUUAUGAUUUUGAAUAAAAUUCAAUGCAAAGUCUAAAAUCUAAAUAUUAAGUUGUGAAUAUUUGUUCAAAGCUUUUAUAAAAAAAAUCAAAGCAAAUUUGAUUGCGUUUCGAUCAUUCUCUUCUACGAACUUGAGAUGCUUCAAAGCAUGAGUUAGCUCUUUGUGUAUGCCUAAUGACAGGCUUAACGACGUGAUUAACAUGCUGAGGAUUAGUUUAGAUUAGCGACGGUACCACGAGCUUCACGUCAUGGAUAAGUUAUGGUGUUCUCUUUGUGGAGUAGAUCUACUAAGCUCUUGAUUUUCUUUUGUACGUAAUUAAAUGACAGCUUCAAGAUUUAUCUCUUCUCAACAUGUUCUCAUUUUUUUUCCACAUAUAUAAUUCUAAUACUCAUGCCUUUCUAAUGCCACAGAUAAAUAGUUAAACAAAAAUUAAAUGGAUCGCUCUCACCGUCUUUCCUCUUUCUCUUUGUUUCCGUUAACAAACAUGAAUCACUUGAACAUUGAUUUUGAGAACAAGAUUGUAGAGUUUAUACAAUAAUUGAAUCUAAAAAGCCUUAAGAUGGUUAAAUUUCUGUGGAUUUUAUUUAUAAUCAGAUAGCUCAUGCUGAUUUGUUUCGGCUAUACAAAGCGGCUGAGCAUUUGUGUUGCCUACAUGAGGAAAUAACACAAGCACAAGUCCGUAUUCUGAUUAAUGAUUGUGCUGCUUUCGAAUAAGCUAUAUUUAUUAAACUAUUUAAUUACUAAUAAUGAAGUUCUUAUGUACGGUGUUAUAGAAUCUAAAUGUAUUCUUAGAAUCUAUAUGGAUCAUAAUUAAAGCUUAGAUAACACAAAUGCUCUUCGCCUCUUUGUAUAUAGCCGAAGCAAAUCAACACACGAGAGUUAUGUGAUAAUAAAUAAAAUACACCAAAAUUUUACCAUUUCUAGGCUAACACAAAUGCUCUGUAUUCAUUUCACAUGUUUGCUCAGCAUCCCAAAUAUAUUUUUUGAUUGUAACAAUAAGAAAAUUUUGAGUUUAAAUCAUUGCAAAUUUGAUAUACGAUUUAUAUGUUAUAUAUCAUAACCAUGAUAUAUAAGGAUUAUAUGUUAAAAAAAUAUAACUGUCAAAAACCCCGGGCGUAGCCCGGGAAAUUCCCUAGUAUAUAGUAAUAGCCUUCAAUUCCAACCGUUACUUCGCAUUUUUAAUUUGAAUACUCACUAUAAAAAGACUUAGAACCCAAGAAAAGAAAUUUACCCUAAUCAUAUAUUCGUGAUGAAUUCUCGCGAGUUUUAGUUGUUACUUUGAUUAGAUUGGUUUACGGAUCCAAUUUCGUUCGGUUUAACCUUAACCGGUUCACUUAUAUAUUAAAUCAGUGAGUUGCUUAAAAAGAUUCAUGUUGGGUUUGGUUUAAUCAUUAACGGUUUUAACGGUUAAAAGAACCAUGCACGCACAUCUUUCUAUAUAAGAAAGCAAAAGAUAUAUCCAAGAAACUACUCGAAUCAUAACACCUCCUAAGUUCCAUUUUAGUAAAUUUGCAAGUACGGAUCGGGUUCAGAUAUAACACAUCGGGUUUGAGUCGGUUUUGUAACACAUCAUAGAAUCCAUAAAGUAAUGAUAUAUCAUUCGGAUUGGGUUAUAUCAGAUGGAUUGGGUUAUAUCAGAUCGGUUCGGAUAUAUCAGAAAUAAAAUCUAAAAUUUAAAAGUAAAACAUAAGAAAUAUAUAAUUAUUUAUAUAUAAUUAAGUAUUUAAGGUAGUUAUUUAAAUUUUAAAUACUCGUUGUUAGAUAACAUAUCAAAAUAAAUAUGAAAUUGAAUAUUUGAAGUAUAUAUUCAUGUUUCAUAUAAUUAUAUUGUAUAUUAUUUUGGAUAUUCGGAUCGGUUUCUUUGGAUAUCUUAUCCGAUUUUUCGAUUUUUUUUUCGGUUUUUCGGGUUACCCGUUCGGGUUCGGUUAAUAAUACUUCGGGUUCGGAUGUGUUUUGUACCACCUUACAGGACCCAUUCGGAUAUUUUUUACAUUUCGGACCAGGUACGGACCGGGUUUUUCGGUUCGGAUUUCGGGAUACGAAUAUUAUGCCCAUGCCUAAUAUUGAUACUCACUAUAAAAUUUAGAACCCAAGAAAAGAAAUUUACCCUAAUCAUAUAUACGUGAUGAAUUCCCGCGAGAUUUAGUUGUUACUUUGAUUGGAUUGGUUUACGGAUCCAAUUUAGUUCGGUUUAACCUUAACCGGUUCACUUAUAUAUUAAAAUAUUAAAUCAGUGAGUUGCUUAAAAAGAUUCAUGUUGGGUUCGGUUUAAUCAUUAACGGUUUUAACGGUUAAAAGAACCAUGCAUGCACCUUCUUCCUAUAUAUGAAAGGAAACCAUUUAUCCAAGAAACUACUCGAAUCUUCCAGAGCGCGGCUCAUGGCGUCUUCACAGCGUUCAUGGUCGUUGUCAUCGCUGCCGCUCGAUAUGAUAGAAGAAAUAUUCCACAGAAGUCCGGCUGAAUCUCUACUCCGAUCUAAACCGACGUGCAAGAAAUGGUACGAUCUCAUCAAGAACAAGAGGUUCAUCUACGAACACUUGCGUCGCUCCCCGGGAAGAUCCCUUAGAACCGAUGAGCGACGGUUCCUAAGAAUCGACCAGACGGUACAAAUCAUGGAACCGGUGACAAGAACACGCUCAGAGAAACCGAUCCCACACGAGCUCCAACCACUAGAAAACAUCAAAGCCAUGGUUCACUGCGACGGACUCAUGUUGUGUAUGUGCAGCGACAUGGAAUCAGGAAUCGUCCACCUCGCUCUUUGGAACCCCCUCACGAGGCAUAUCACACUGAUCCAGCCCUCGACACGUUUCACGACUUCUGACUACUACGGGAUUGGACACGGCGUCAACAAGUAUCGAGAUGGUUACAAGAUCCUUAGGUUUUCUGAUCGCCGUUACGAUAAUUAUCAUCAUCAUCAUCAUUCUGAAGUGGAUUUUGAGAUUUAUUACUGCGAGACGAGUUCUUGGAGAACCCUCGAUGAUGCCAAGGUUGAUUGGAAUGUGGAUUUCACGUGCCAUGGUGUGUCUGUUAUGGGGAACAUGUACUGGCUUGCUCAUAGGGAUGUUGAGGAGGAGGAGGAGCUCGAAAGCUGUAUUAUAGGCUUCGAUUUCACCGCUGAGAAAUUCAUGGACGUAUGCUUUUGCCAUUCCAUUUUUGAUUACAAUUACUUGAGCUGUUUCGGUGGAGAUAGAUUGUCUUUGCUACAACAAAAUCACGACGAGCCAAGUCUUAUUGAGGUGUGGGUUUCAAGCAAGUUGGCUGAUGAUGGGGGUGAUGUCUCGUUUACAAAAUAUUUCAGUGUGGUCAGCUCUGAUCUUCCAUGGUUACAUCUCGAUAGAUCAGAAGAUGCUAGUCAUCCGGUGUACUACAUUGCCAAGAACAAACGUAUCAUAGCAUGGUGCGAGGGAAUGAUGGAUGAUGGUGAUAGACUCCCUGUUUGGAUCAUUCUCUAUGAAAUUGAUGAGGAUGGUGUAAGAAAUCAACUUGAGACAGAACGACAUUACGAGAAUGACUAUGUUGGCACCUUCCUUUGUGGUUACGUGUAUGUUCCAAGUCUAGUCCCUCUUCCAUGAUAAGAGAAAGGAGGUUAUGUUUUCAUGUUCUAAUUAAGCUUUAGUUUGGGACUUUUAGUCUUUUGUUUGUUGAUCUUCUGCAAUGUAAAGAUGUUUACUGAAUUAACAUUGGUCUUUGUAUGAUAAUCUUGAGAGGGUUUAGGUUAUGGUUCACAGUUGUGUCAUGUGUGUAUCAGUCAUCUUUGUUGUUCAAUAAAACUAAGAUACAUGCCGUAAAGAAAUGCCAUUGUUGUUCAUUUAUGUAGUUAACUGAUUGAUAAAUUCUAUUUAUAAAUGCAAGGAGUAAAGAUAUAUCUACAGAUUGCACGAGGAGACAGAGCACUGCAGUUGUAAUGUAACAUACAUUGCAAAUGUAAACCAUGUUGAGAUGAAGAGAUCAAGCUAUAUGAAAGAAGGAUAUCAAAGGCACCAGACUUGAGAAGUUAGGCACCAGACUUGAGACUGUUGCUAAGGCACCAGACUUGAGAAGUUAGGCACCAGACUUGAGACUGUUGCUACAGUACUCGGCCCAGAAAGGAAGAAGCCCAUGACAGCCUUUCUCAAGCUCUUAAAACCCUUGUAUCCUCUCUAUAUAAACUUUAUAAUCUCUUCAUUAAGAUUCAAGCAAGAUAAUAAAAAGUCUCUGGUCAUCUUUGAAUUCUCUCUCUAGCCUUUAAUCUCAUUUCCAAAUCUCAUUAAUCUCCAAUCUCUAAUCUCUAAUCUCUUUAAUAAUCCUCUCAAAUCUCUUUCUAAUCUCAUUUAUUAUUCAAGAUGUCUAGAAAUAUUAUGGUAUCAGAGCCUGGGUGAAUGUUCUUGAGUUCUUGAGGGUUCUUGAGAUUAUCCAAGGCUAGAUCUUUGAAAAUCUCAAGAAAGUUUCUGUUGGUGUUUUUACUGAAGAACUAGCCUAAAGCUGGUUUCUUUGGUGGUUUGGAGAGCUCAGAUCCGUGUUCAAGCUUAAAGGUCAAGUCUUUGAAGUGUAUUGGUGCUUUUGUGUACAAACUGAGAGGUCUUUGAGGUGUUCUUAAGGAUCUAAGUGAAAAAGUUCAAGUCUUUUCAAGCUAGUGGGUUACUAGAGUCAAGAUUGAAGCUUUUUGAAAGAUGGAAGAUAGUGGUGGAGUCUACAUGAAGAUUGCUACCAAGUUCAAGGGAAACAACUACCUUGUGUGGUCUAGGAUGGCCAGGAAUGCUAUUGGAGGCAAGGGAUUGCUCAAACAUCUCACAUCCAGUGUGAUUCCAAAGCAAGAGAUCAAAGAAAAGGAGGAAGAAGAGGACGAAAGUGAGACUGCCUAUGAUAAAUGGCAACAAGCUGAUUGUAUGGUGAUUAAUGCUCUUCUUGCCUCCUUGGAUCAGAACUUGAUGGAUGCUUAUAGCUACUGUGAUACAGCUAAAGAACUUUGGGAUACAUUGAAGCAAAUCUAUGGAAACACCUCAAAUCUCAACAGGGUCUUUGAGGUGAAGCAAGCUCUCAAUAGUCUAGUACAAGAAGAUAUGGACUUUGAGAAGCAUUUGGGCAAGUACAGAGCACUGUGGUCUGAACUAGAGAUGUUGAGGCCAAAUACCAUUGAUCCAAUGGAGCUUAACAAGAGAAGGGAGCAGGAUAAAGUCUUUGGACUGCUUCUCACUUUGAAUCCAGCAUAUGGAGGGUUCAUUCAGCACAUGUUGAGAGAUGAGACUCUACCUAACCUAGAAGAGGUGUGUGCUAGGAUCCAAAAGGAAUAUGGGAACAUGGAGCUAUUUAACAAGAAGGGAAAGGAGCUAGCUUUGGCAAAUCAAGCAGCGCAAGCUCAAGGAGAUCAGGGAGAACUUGCACAAGCUAACAAGGCCAUCCAUGGCAAGUAUGAGAAGUUUGGUGGGAGUUGUGAUCACUGCAAGAAGCAAGGCCACAAGAAGAGCCAAUGCUGGAUCCUACAUCCUCAUUUGAAGCCAGCCAAGUUCAAAGAGGCCAAAGCUCACAUGGUGGAGAGUAGUGGUGGUGGUGCAAGCAAGGAACAUGCUGGAGAGAUGGAUAAUGGGAAAUCUUUGGUGGCUUAUACUGGUGGUCCUAGUUCUAGAGGCAGCACUAGUGGUGAUGAAUACUUGAAGAGAUCAGACUUGGAUGUUCUCAUCAAGCUCUUCAAGGAACAUGGUAACACCCUUGCAUACUCUCAUGGAGCUUCUAUGAUUGCUAGAACUGAUAGGUUACUAGAGGACUCAUUUGACAUGUAUAAUCAUCUUAGAAAGGGUAUCCUUGAUAGGAUUGAUCAUGCAUAUGAUUCUGCCCAUGCAUAUAAGCCCUCUAGUAUACUAGCGCAUCUAGCUAACUCCACAUCUAGUUCAUAUAAGCCUCUCAUUGUUGAUUCUGGUGCAUCUCAUCACAUGAUAAGUGACACUAGAUUGAUUAACAAUAUUGAACCUGCUCAUGGUAAUGUGAUGAUAGCCAAUGGUGCUAAAAUUCCUAUUAAAGGAAUAGGAGAGCUCAAGCUAUUUGAUAAAGAUUCCAAAGCGCUUUAUAUGCCUGAUUUUACUUCUAAUCUUCUUUCAGUUAAGAAGUGUGCUACUGAUCUGAAUUGUAAUGUCAUUUUCAGCCCUAACAGUGUAAAAUUUCAGGAUAUUGAAAGCCAUAAGGUGCUUGGAAGUGGAGUUACCAAGGGAGAUCUUUAUGUGCUAGAGAAUUUGAGCUUCUCUGCUCCUAGUUCAAAAUUUAGUUGUUCCUUUUCUUCUGCUUCUACUAGUCUAAGCAAGAAUGCAUUGUGGCAUGCUAGACUAGGACACCCUCAUAAUAAAGCUUUAAAACUGAUGUUGCCAGGUGUUUCUUUUGAGAAUAAUGAUUGUGAAGCUUGUAUUUUAGGCAAGCAUUGUAAAACUGUUUUUCCAAACUCUUCUACUAUUUAUGAAAAUUGCUUUGAUCUUGUUCACUCGGAUGUUUGGACAGCUCCCUGCUUAUCUAGGGAAAAUCAGAAGUAUUAUGUCACUUUCAUUGAUGAAAAAUCCAAAUACACCUGGUUAACUUUAAUUCCAACCAAAGAUAGGGUGCUUGAUGCAUUUAGAAACUUUCAAACUUAUGUGAUUAACCAAUAUCAUGCCAAGAUUAAAGUUUUCAGGUCUGAUAAUGGAGGAGAGUACAUAAGCAAUGCAUUCAAGCAACACCUAUCUGGCAGUGGGAUUCUUCACCAAACUAGCUGUCCAUACACUCCUCAACAAAACGGUGUGGCUGAGAGGAAGAACAGACAUUUGAUGGAGGUCGCUAGGUCCUUGAUGUUUCAAGCCAAUGUCCCAAAGAGAUUCUGGAGUGAUGCUGUCGUUACUGCUUGCUACUUGAUCAACAGGACACCUACUCUUGUGCUACAAGGGAAGUCGCCAUUUGAGGUGCUCAACAAGUACAAGCCAGUUCUCUCACAUCUCAAGGUCUUUGGGUGCUUAUGCUAUGUAAUGGUUCCUGGUGAGUUGAGAAAUAAGCUAGAAGCAAGGAGCUCCAAGGCUAUGUUUAUUGGAUACUCUACCAGCCAGAAAGGGUACAAGUGCUAUGAUGAAGACACUAGGAGAGUGAUGAUCUCUAGAGAAGUGAAGUUUGUGGAGGAAAGAGGGUAUUUUGAAGAGAAGAACCAAGAAGAUCUGAAAGAUUUGGCUUCAGAUAGAGCAACAGUCUUGAGAACUAUACUGGAGAAUCUUGGUAUCAAUGUGAACCAAGGAGGUGGUAGUGCACCAAGGGAUGCGCCUACUACAACAACAAAUGGAGGUCACGAAAGUGCACCAGUGAGUGCACCAGUUACUGAUGGAGUUCAUGUUCCUACUCUUGAUCAUGAGGGGGGGAAUGAAUCAGAGACUCUUAACCAAGGAAUGGGAGAGAGUAGUUCAAGUGGUCAAGAGAGUUCUAGUUCUCAUGAUCAGAGUGGUGAUCAAGGUGUGGAGCCUAUGAAUCAUCAAGGAGAAGCUGAGGCUAGUGGUGAUCAAGGUGUGGAGCCUGUGAAUCAUCAAGGAGGAGCUGAGGCUAGUGGAGAUGAUGCGCAAGAAGAGGACAAUGUGGAAGAGCCAGAACCUGUACAAGGUCCCAUGUUGAGGAGGAGCACACGGAAUAGGAAGCCUUCCAAAUGGGUAAACACGAGAGUGUACUACAAUGCCCAGGCUGUGGAACAUUCUUCUCAAGCUGUGUGUUCUUUUGCUCAAUAUCCAGAAGAGCAUUGUGCAUUUCAAGUGAGCUUGGAUCAGAGUCAUGUUCCAAGAAGCUAUGAAGAGGCAAUGCUGAUACAAGAGUGGAGAGAUUCAGUUAAGGCUGAAAGUGAUGCUAUGAUCAAGAAUGAGACAUGGUAUGAGAGUGCAUUGCCAAAAGGGAAGAGAGCUGUUUCUAGUAGAUGGAUCUUCACCAUCAAGUAUCUUCCAAAUGGAGAGAUAGAUAGGCGCAAGACAAGGCUUGUUGCAAGAGGUUUCACUCAAACAUAUGGAGAGGACUACAUUGAUACAUUUGCUCCAGUUGCUAAGCUCCAUACUAUCAGGAUUGUGCUCUCUUUGGCUGUGAAUCUCGAGUGGGAUCUUUGGCAAAUGGAUGUAAAGAAUGCCUUUCUUCAAGGAGAGCUAGAAGAUGAGGUUUACAUGCAUCCACCACCUGGUCUUGAGCAUCUGGUGAAGAAAGGGAAUGUAUUGAGACUAAAGAAAGCUAUCUAUGGUCUCAAGCAAUCUCCUAGAGCUUGGUACCACAAGCUGAGCACUACUUUGAAUGGAAAAGGAUUCCGCAAAAGUGAGCUUGAUCAUACUCUCUUCACUCUCACUUCUCCCUUGGGUAUUGUUGUUCUCCUUGUGUAUGUUGAUGAUAUCAUCAUCACUGGUAGUGAUAAUGAUGGUAUCAAGGCUACCAAGGAGUUUCUCAAAUCUGUUUUUGAGAUUAAAGACUUGGGAGAGAUGAAAUACUUUCUUGGCAUUGAGUUGUGUAGAGCCAAGGAAGGUUUGUUCAUCUCUCAAAGGAAGUAUACACUUGAUCUCUUGAAAGAUGCAGGUGCUUAUGGAGGAAAGACAGCCAAGAUGCCCAUGGAAGAUGGGUACAAGGCGCCACAUGAGGGGGAGCUUGAAGAUAGCAAGCCUUUUCAUGAUCCAAAGCUUUAUAGAAAGCUAGUGGGUAAGCUCAUCUACUUGACCAUCACUAGACCUGAUAUUUGCUUUGCUGUGAAUCAGGUGAGCCAGCAUAUGCAAGCUCCAAGGGAGCAUCACUGGCACAUGGUGGAGAGAGUGCUCUUGUACCUGAAUGGAACACAAGAUCUUGGAGUGUGGAUGGGCUGCAACAGAAGCACUGAAGUGGUGGGCUACUGUGAUGCAGAUUGGGCAGCAGAUAGGACUGAUAGGAGAUCAACUACUGGCUACUGCACAUUCAUUGGUGGUAACUUGGUUACUUGGAAGAGUAAGAAGCAGAAGGUGGUUUCAUGUUCUAGUGCAGAAGCUGAGUAUAGAGCCAUGCUGAAGCUUACCAACGAGUUGGUGUGGAUCAAAGGGAUCCUGAAGCACUUGGAGAUUGAUCAAGCUACACCAAUGACCAUGCAUUGUGACAACCAAGCAGCAAUCCACAUAGCCUCCAACUCAGUCUUCCAUGAGAGAACCAAGCACAUUGAAGUAGAUUGCCACAAGGUGAGGCAAAUGAUUGGUCUUGGAGUGAUUCUACCUUGCUACACCAAGAGUGAAGAUCAGUUGGCUGAUGUGUUCACUAAGGCUGCGCGGCAAAAGACUAUGGAGUCCAUCCAUAUCAGGUUGGGACUCAUAGAUCUUGGCAAGAGAAACUAGUACCCCUUACCAUGAGGUCUUUACUCUUUUUCCCUCAUCAAAGUUUUGUCCCAAUGGGUUUUUCUUUGGUGAGGUUUUUAAUGAGGGAGAUCUCAUGGCUUCCAAGCUUGACUUGUUCCACAUGGUCAAGCUUGAGGGGGAGUGUUGAGAUGAAGAGAUCAAGCUAUAUGAAAGAAGGAUAUCAAAGGCACCAGACUUGAGAAGUUAGGCACCAGACUUGAGACUGUUGCUAAGGCACCAGACUUGAGAAGUUAGGCACCAGACUUGAGACUGUUGCUACAGUACUCGGCCCAGAAAGGAAGAAGCCCAUGACAGCCUUUCUCAAGCUCUUAAAACCCUUGUAUCCUCUCUAUAUAAACUUUAUAAUCUCUUCAUUAAGAUUCAAGCAAGAUAAUAAAAAGUCUCUGGUCAUCUUUGAAUUCUCUCUCUAGCCUUUAAUCUCAUUUCCAAAUCUCAUUAAUCUCCAAUCUCUAAUCUCUAAUCUCUUUAAUAAUCCUCUCAAAUCUCUUUCUAAUCUCAUUUAUUAUUCAAGAUGUCUAGAAAUAUUAAACCAAACCAGGCGGUGGAGUUAGUGUUUCGUAAGGCAGAUGAAAAACUUGUCAACUUUUUUGCUCUGCUACUGAAGACUUUUAGAAAAUUGAAGAUUAGAUUAAACCAGAUGAAAACCAAAUUACAUUAGUGAAAUCAAAGUUAUGAGACCGUUUUUUUCCCCUAAUUUACGGGCUUAAAUUGUCUUUCAGUGGUGGUAUAGACUUGGGUCUUCUAAUUGUAUCCAGCUAGAUUUUUUUUCGAUUUGGUUAAGAAUACUAUUUUUACAUUUUAAUAGGCUAAUAAAGAGGUUUGGCCCAUUUGCGUACGUGUUAAUUAUAUAAAGUUUAUUGUUGGCUGAAUUAACAAACCGACCUUAGCUCAGUUGGUAGAGCGGAAGACUGUAGUGGGUUAUCCCAAAGAAAUCUUUAGGUCGCUGGUUCGAUUCCGGCAGGUCGGAUAUUCUUUUUGCUAUCUCCUUGUUAUAUCUAUGGGACCCACAUCUACAUUGCUAACUCGCGUGCUUAACCGUUGAUUAUCCCAUACGCUAUUUUCGCGUAACAGAAGUCAAUACUCUCCGGAAAAAUUCCAAAAUUAGCCUCGAUCAUGUUCAGAAGAUCCUUCUAAUACUAUCUUGCCACGUGUACACCUUCUCCUUCCUCGUAUACAGUCUCUAAAAAAAGAAAAAAUCACAGUUUGAGAAGAAAAAAAAACGAAAAUGGAGAAACGAACUUUCCUCUCCCUCCUCUUGCAUUUCGUCGUCUUCAUCGCUUGUACCUAUCCGUCUUCCUCUAUCCUCUUGAACGAUCGGAGCUUCGAGAUAUCGAACUUGCCUUCAUCGCGCGCGGAGAAGCUGAUCCGCGAGCUUAACCUUUUCCCGAAGCUCGACGUGAACGUGAUCGAUGUCGGUGAUUCGCCUCUCGCUUCCUCGGAGGAGGUGCCUUCGAUUGUCGAACGGAGCUUCAGAUUCCCGAAUAUUGUAUCCCAUAGCGACGACGGCGCUUCCGUCGAGGAUUUAGGUCAUCGUGCUGGCUAUUACAAGCUUCCGAAAUCUCAAGGCGCAAGGUUCAUUGUUGCUCAUGUGUAUCUUGAAGCUUACUCACACCGGAUCGUUUGUGGAAUUAGUAUCUGAUUUGUUAUGCUUCAUUGAGAAUCUGCAGCUAGGUUGCAUGUUUAUGUUGAUCUUGAACAUUUUUGCUAGUACGGAUUUGUAUCUUGGAGCUUAAUCGUACUGAUUCGUGUACAUUUGUGGAUUUAGUAUCUGAUUUGUUAUGCUUCAUCCAUAAUUUGCAGCUAAUUUUUUUGUGUGUUUAUGUCUGGUAAAAUAAAUUCUCAAUUAAAUGUUUUGUUCACUUGUAUGUUUGGUGGUGUUUAGGAUGUUCUACUUCUUCUUUGAGUCGCGCAAGAAGAAGAAGGAUGCUCCUGUUGUGAUUUGGUUGACCGGAGGGCCUGGAUGUAGCAGUGAACUGGCUAUGUUCUAUGAGAACGGCCCUUUCAAGAUCGAUAAGAACAUGUCUCUUGUUUGGAAUGAGUAUGGAUGGGAUCAGGUAUUUAUGAUCCUUAUAAACUAGCUCCCCAAUUCUUAUUAGCUUUUUUGAUCAUGAGAGUUGAUUGAGAGUUGAUGUUGCAGGUUUCCAAUCUCCUGUAUGUUGACCAGCCUGUUGGAACUGGCUUCAGCUACACCACAGACAAAAGUGACAUCCGUCAUGACGAAAAGGGUGUUAGCGAUGAUCUGUAUGAUUUUCUGCAGGUCUGGCCUUGUGAAUACAGAAACUUGCUUCCAAGCUUUGACUUGGAUAAAAAUAUCUUUUUAGAUACUGAUUACGUUUCCUCAUGUUACCUCAGGCUUUCUUUGCGGAGCACCCUAAGCUGACAGACAACGACUUUUACAUAACUGGAGAGUCAUAUGCUGGGCAUUACAUUCCGGCUUUUGCUGCCCGAGUCCAUAAAGGAAACAAGGCUAAGGAGGGGCUUCAUAUUAACCUUAAGGCAUGUGAUUUUUUUCUCUUUCUUACGUUUUUAAUGGAAGGCUGGUAUUCACAAGUAGAAUCUUGCAGGGAUUCGCCAUUGGAAAUGGGCUUACAAAUCCUGCACUCCAGUACCCAGCUUAUCCUGACUAUGCUUUGGAAAUGGGUUUAAUUACGCAAUCAGAGCAUGAUCGUUUAAAAAAGAUUGUCCCACUCUGUGAACUAUCAAUUAAGCUUUGCGGUACUUCCCCUAAUUUCUCUAUCAAGUUAUGUCUAUAAAAUGCUCCAUGCCUCCAUGUGUUGUAACCUUUAAUGGAUACUGAAUCCAUGUUUUUUUUUUUCAGGAACUGAUGGAACAGUUUCUUGCUUGGCAUCAUAUCUUGUUUGCAACACGUUGUUCAGUGGUGUAAUAAAUCAUGCUGGUGGAGUAAAUGUAAGUCCAAAACAACUGUUUAAUUUUUAUUAUUAAUUGGCCUUUCAUAUAAUAUUAUUUCUGGCAACAUCAUGUGAAUUUUCUUUUCCUUCAAAAAUGUGACUUCCAUCUAUCCACAAGAGAAACCAUCACUUAUAGAAUGCAAUGGUGUUUAUUAUUUCUGCAUUUAAAGUAGGGAGAACUGAAGAGUAAUAUGGUAUUUGUUGUGUAGUAUUACGACAUCAGGAAGAAGUGCGAGGGGAGUUUGUGCUAUGACUUCUCAGACAUGGAGAAAUUCUUGAAUCUGCAAUCCGUGAGAAAGUCGCUUGGUGUUGGGGACAUAGAGUUUGUCUCGUGUAGUACUAGUGUCUAUCAGGCAAUGCUACAGGAUUGGAUGAGGAAUCUCGAGGUUGGUAUUCCCACCCUCUUGGAAGAUGGAAUCAACCUUCUUGUGUAUGCUGGAGAGUAUGAUCUCAUCUGCAACUGGCUCGGUAAGUUCCAAAAGCAUAACAUAAUCAAAUCCAGACUAAAUAAUGAUAUAGACGGAAUAUAGUUGUGAACCAAACUAGAUUAACUUAACUAGUAAAAAAUACAAUUGUUAAUCUGUGUUUGGUAGUAGAGUAAUAUGCAAAACAUGAUAUACUUGAAUUGGAGCAGGUAACUCGAGGUGGGUGAAUGCAAUGGAGUGGUCAGGACAAGAGAACUUUAAGGCGACUAAUGAAGUUCCCUUUGUGGUUGAUGGUAAAGAAGCAGGGAAGUUAAAGAGUUAUGGACAACUUAGUUUCCUCAAGGUCAGGCUUUUCUUACAUAAAAUCAGUCUUUCCAUAGUUCUAUAGACUAUAGUAACAAGAAAGAGUUUGAUGACAACAGGUGCACGAUGCGGGACACAUGGUUCCAAUGGACCAGCCAGAAGCUGCGUUGAAAAUGUUGAAGAGAUGGAUGGAGAAUUCGCUUAGUGGAGGAGAUGAUGAUGAUGUGGCGACUACUAUUACAGAAGGAGAUGAUCUGGUUGCUCAGAUGUGAUCUCAUCUUCUUUCCAAUUGCAGGAAAACAUAAAUAGCAGCAAACAUUGUGGACUGUGUUGUGUACACGCUUGAAAGUUUACUUCUUUAAUUUGAUCUCAAAAGAUAAUUAUAUGUAGGGGUAGUAACAAGUUGAUAUGCCUUGAUGAACAAUAAUAUAAUCUUCAAAUUAAGAACUGGACAGAGUUGCCUUUGUCUAGUGAUCCAGACCAUCCUGAGUAUUCAUCAACCUCUCUCUGAUUCGAGCUCUUUCAAUAUUCAUCAGCCUCCUUCCUCUUCUCGUCUUCUUCCUCCGCCUCUCCCCAGCUUCAUUGUCCACCACCGAAGCCCAAUUCUCCUCCUCCUCCUUCCGCCAUCCCCGUUUGUUCGGCGGAGGUGGUCUCUCCCCGAAGGAGGUAAGGGUGGUGCUGCGAUGGAGGAGUAACGGUAGUAGAAAGUGUCGACCUCUCCAUCGUCGCUAUGGUGAAUCUUCUUAUUUCUUCUUCUUAUUCGUCUGCACCAUCUCCACUGCCUUGCUUUCGUAUUCGAAUUUGAAUUUAAACGACGUCGUUUUAAAGGUUGUAACUGUAGUGGUGGUGGUGAACAUGUUAUUGUCGUCCAAUUAAAAAAAAAAAACGUUAAGUCUAAUUUUUUGUUUGAAGAACUAUUUUCCCACAAUAAAAUUUUGGAGAAUUAGAACUUGGAACGGGAGAAGAACGAGUUUAGAUUUGAUCCCUCCAUAGCUCGAGAUUUUGAUUAACUUCUUCGCCAUCGGAGACGCACUGAUCAGAUUCAAAGGAGGAUUCGCAUCCCAGGUUAGAUUCGCAGCUGAAAACUUUUUCUCUCUAGAUCCACUUCGUGUUUGAUUGCUAUUCUCGAUCUCUGUUUACGCCAAUGUUUACGUAUCCGUUAGAUCUUUCGUUGAACGAGUGAUGAUGACUGAAUGUUUUACAUUGUCCUCUCCUCACUUGAAUCAUGUAUCAUCCGUUCGCUCCAUUAGCUUCUUUUUGAAAUUGAGCUACGUAGCAUCGUCAUUCAUCGUGGAAAUUCUGUUAUCAACGUCCUCUCUAGCUCAUGUAUGUGUUGGUUUUCAACUUUUGAUUUCAGAUACAGAGUGUUUGAUUGGAAUGUGCUGAGGAAUAGUCCACCAGCAUGGGGAUCUUCGACGGUUUGCCUGUUCCCUCAGAUAAAACUGUAAGUCCACUUUCUUCACUCCUAGCUAUAACCUUAUGGUCGCCGUUAAUAGAAGGAGUGUGUUCUUUUAUCCCCUUAGGCAUUUAUAGGGACACAGAGUAUGUUUUGGAGUACAUGUGUGGCUGUGUGUGUGUGUCUAAGUGAUUAUGGUUAUUGCAGUACCUUAGGGAUGAGCUGGCACGAAUAGAUGAGAGCUGGGCUGUUGCACGCUUCGACUCUUUGCCACAUGUGGUCCAUAUCCUCACCUCAAAAGACCGUGAGACUGACGUUCUUUUACUAAAGGAACAAAGUGAUGUUGUCGAGGAGGUUGUGGAUGAAGUUGUGCAUGCUUAUCACGGUGGUUUCAACAAGGCCAUUCAAAACUACUCACAGGUUGGUUCCUUUUAUCUGACCCCUCUUCCUUUUUUUAUUGGAGAGAGCCUUUUUUACCUUAGGCUUAUUGCGUGUUUGAUUUACUGAAUUAUGCCUGCUUCUAUGAUUUAUAAAUUUGGACUUUUUUCUAGUAAAAGUUCAUUCGUGAAGUAACUUAGAUGUUGAUUAUGUCUUCUUUUGUCCUGCUUUCAUUGAAUUUCUCAACAGAUCUUGCGAUUGUUCAGUGAGUCCACUGAAAAAUUAGGCGACUUGAAGCAUGAUUUGGCAGACGCAAAGAGGAGCUUGGGUACACGCAAUAAACAGUUGCACCAGCUGUGGUACCGUUCUGUAACAUUGCGGCACAUCAUCGCACUUUUGGAUCAAAUUGAGGGCAUUGCUAAGGUUGGUUAGAUUAGCAGUAACAUUUCAUUGUUGAUUUUUUUGGACAGUGCUUGCUAUGUAUUUGCGCUGCUCUGAAGUUUGAUUCGUCACUCCUGACAGCACUCAGUAUUUAUGAUGAUGUUUUUGUUGACAUGUUUUCGUUUUCCAAUAUUUAUACUUACUUUCUUUUACUUUGUGCUAUUUAGAAGAAACUUUUUUUAUGGUAGCUCUGCCUUUUGAACAUUGAACAGGUUCCAUCUCGUAUUGAGAAGCUCAUUGCUGAUAAGCAGUUUUACGCUGCUAUUCAAGUGUAUCUUCAGUCGUCUCUGAUGCUUGAGCGUGAGGGGCUUCAAACGGUAGUUUCCUAACUGCCAAUCUUAACAAUUCUGAAAAAGAAAUCUCAUGGGAACAUUUUUGGGUCUUCCCAUUCAGUUGUCAAUUUGGUCUCUAGGACUGUUUUGUUAUUUAUCCGUUGAAGGGAUCUGGUAUCAUCUAAUUUCCAUCGGGGACUUCUGAUUAUUUUUGUUCGAGAUACAUACUGUUGACUUGGAUAUUGUACUCAUAUAUACUGGUCUGGUACGUUGACUUAGGUUGGUGCUCUUCAAGAUGUCAGAUCUGAGCUAACUAAGCUGCGCGGAGCCCUUUUCUUUAAAAUUCUAGACGAUUUGCAUGCACAUCUAUACAACAGAGGUGAAUACAGGUAGGUUUCUUUUCAGUGGCCUGCUUGUUUGAUAGUUUACCUCGUCAAUUCUGUUAUUGCACAAUCUUCUGUUCUUGACCUUGUAUAUGCUGCAGUUCAGUUGCGUCAAGCAUAUACGAAAGAGAUGAUGAUGUACCAACAACAACAGCUGUUGCAGCUAGUCGAAUGAGCUCACAACCACUGUCUCGUAGAACACGGACACUGAAAGGUGAUAGUCAGUUUGUUGUUAGAGGGCUCACAAAUGGUUCACAUAGAACGUCGUCUAUUGAGGAAGGGUAUGAAGCAACCUUUCCCUUCAGUUGUUUCUGUAUGGGAUAUUAGGAAUGCUUUUUGUGUGUAAUGAUUUACCUUAUUCGGAGUGCUCCUUGUUCAGUAAUUGUCAGUUUAGUUUCGAUUCUCCAUUGAGGCUCUUGGAGCUUCAUUUUUAAUAUAGAUAUUAGCAUACUUGCAUCAUUUAUAUAGUCAUUAUGUGGAAGUUGUCAUCAAUAUACUUCAUUAAAAUUUUCGUCAAUAAAAGAGAGUAUGGUGUAAAUUGAUUACGGCAGAAGUGGCUUUGUCAACCUAAGGUUGUUCUGCUUCUAUAAAAUUAUUUUGCUUGUUUUGCAGUUCCUCUACUUCGCUAAUGUGUGUUUCUUUAAUUACAUUGCGUUUCUUAGUUCAUCAUUUGAUGGACAUGAUGAGGAGGACUCUGUCGAACAUGAUGAAGCUACUGAUAGUAAACUGCUUUCUCACCAACUUACGCCAUGGCUUUCUGAUUCCACGCCUGACGAGUUUAUUGUACGUGCUUGUUACACUUAUACAACUAUCUUUUGCCCAAUUUUUUCAGUGCUGUGACACUGCCUUUUCUUCUGUUUCAGGAAGCAGUAAGAAAGAGUGAUGAUCCACUUCAUGUGAAGUAUCUACAGACCCUUGUUCAGUGUCUCUGCAUGCUUGGAAAAGUUGCAGCUGCUGGUGCUAUCAUAUGGUUCGCUUUUAAAUAUUUUCACUUUUCUAAAUGGUCUUAAAAAUGCUAGGAUUUCUGUCUUGUAGCUAGAUAUAGUUAUAGAAAAUUCACUCCUUUGGUAUUAGUUUUAGAUCGUUAAAAUUUGCUAGUUUUCCAUUCAAAAACGUCACUUGGUGGAAAUCAGUACAUUCCAUUAUAGAAAUCGUCAAACAUUUUUAGUGAUGUUUUUGUGUCCUCAUGCAGCCAAAAACUUCGACCCACAAUACAUGAGAUCAUUAUAUCCAAGAUUAAAGCCCAUAUGGAGACUAGAAAUUUGUCAAAGUCCGCCUGUAGUCAGGGUGAUCAAACGGUAGCUGCGGGAUUGCAUUUUAUAAAAGGACAACCAGAGGCCUACAGACUAUCAAAAGAGAAACCUCAAAACAGGAUAUCAAAUUCAGGAACUCACCUGGCUGUGAGCCCUGUUUCGCCUCUUAUGGUUCCUGGAGGGAAGGCGCAAGCUGCUGCAAAAGACCUUCUUGACUCAAUUUUAGAUACUAUUGUCAAGAUAUUUGGUGAGCAAUUCAACUGUAAACGCCUCUCAAUAUUUUUUGUUUCUCUGGUGAAAGCUCAAACUUUCUCUUACUAUUCUACAGAAAAUCAUGUUGUUAUUGGAGAGCUUUUGGAGUUGAAGGCUUCGCAACAUGACAUUAACACACCGAAGUCAUUGCCUACGAAUGUGAACUGGAAUACCGAUUCUGAAGCAUCCCAAGUUACUGGAGGCUACACUAUCAGUUAUCCCUUAACAGUCUUACAGGUCCGCCUAUUGUUUCCAAAAUAUAUAAUACGCCGUGAAGCCAAAUGUUUAUAAAUCUACAUUGAUCUAAUGGUUUCUUAUACAUAAGCUUAUUGAAAUUUUACGUGUUAAUGGUGAAGAGUGAAUGCCAGCAACUCAUUUGUGAGAUUCUACGAGCAACUCCAGAAGCUGCUUCAGCAGAUGCUGUGGCACAAACUGCUAAAGUUGCAAAGAAGGCUUCCAAAAAAGACAAAAGGCAAGUAACCUUUAACGUUGGCAGUUCAUACAUUUACUGAGAUGGCUUUCUCAUUAUCAUUUAGAUACAUAGACAACGAAACAUGUCCCAAGAAUUAGACAUUUAAGAUUUUUUAAAGAUAAACCUCAUUUCCAUGUAGAGGUAUGUUUUCAUUCGGCUGGGAAUCACAAUAUAUGGUCAUCGACAAUAUAGGGAGGAUAUUAGAGCAGAGAUUUAUUCUGAUGAUCUAAUAAGCAGGUUUUACGAAACCCAAGUCUAGGAAUUUUUCAUUUAGGUUCUUCUCAGAGCGCUAGUAAAGUGGAGCGCUGAAGAGUUUGACACAAAUUUGAAUGUAAAAUUCUCUAGUUUGGUUAGUAGUAUUGAUGCUUGAUUGAUGUAGGACUGCAGGAAUGCACCUGAAGAUGGGCUAACAUUCACCUUUUGAUGUAGGACUGCAUGAAUGCACCUGAAGAUGGGCUAACAUUCACCUUUCGGUUUACAGAUGCAACUGUAUCGAUUUCUAAUCAGGGUACUAAUCAACUAUCCUGUCUGUUCUUAUGUUAUGAUGCCUUGGGUAGACUUAAUGACGUGUGUUGCUGGCAGGAGCUGAUCUAAUUCGCCAAGGCUGGGGAAAGAAGGCUCCAAAUUCAUCACAGGAAGGUUAUGGUUCUGCAGCAGUAUUGCCUGAACAGGGAAUAUAUCUAGCUGCAUCUAUAUACCGACCUGUCCUUCAGGUUUUGAUUCUGGUUCAUAAGCUUUUUCAUUCAAUGGAAACUGUAUUUCAGUAGACCUAUAAUCUUUCGUGUCUUGCAGUUUACAGAUAAAAUCACUUCAAUGUUGCCCAAAAAGCAUUCCCAGCUUGUGUAAGUUCAAAAUUUCCGCUUGCCAGUGCAGGCUGUCAUUCUGGCAAUGCUGAACACCUUGCUCACCGUCCAAAAUGAAAGUUGAAAUUAUUGUUUAGUUAAGUGCUGAAAAGUUACCAGAAUUUUCACCAUCGAGUUUUCGGUAUUUGAUACAGGAUUGAUGGGUUGCUUACAUUCACUGAGAACUUUGUGAAGGACCACCUGUUACCUACAAUGUUUGUGGACUAUAGGAAAGGCGUACAGCAAGCUAUAUCAAGUUAGUUCCAUACACUAUAGAGAUCUGAUCAUAGCGUUUUUGUUGCUAUUUUAGGGUAAUUUUCUUCUAACAGUACAUAGAAAUUGCAUUGUGAAAGGAGAGCUGCUAAUUUGGUGUCAAACACUUGGACUCUUACCAUCGCAUGGUGGUAGUAGAAGCAUUUGCUUACAAAAAUAACUGAUACAGUCUGCCUAUAUAGGGUAUGGCAAAAAGUUGAGGCGUCUUUGAGAAAUGCUGCACCUAUUUUGAAAGAUCACCCGGCAAGAAAGUUUUUAUACGAAUAGUUGCAUUUUCACUAGUUUAUGAAUAAAAUGAAAAUGGAGGGAACCAGUUGUGUCAGUGUGUAUAUUUUCAUAUAUUCAAGGUCGAAAAAUCAUUUUGCAGGUGCCGCCGCAUUUAGACCACGUGCACAUACAACUACUUACACUCCAACCGUAGAAAAGGGUCGUCCUAUCUUACAAGGACUUUUGGCAAUAGAUCUCCUUGCAAAAGAGGUAAGUUGUCUAUGCUUUUAAACUGGAAGCUAAACUUUGUUGCUUUUCACAUAUUUGAUCUGCCUUAAAAGGAAUGGAUGGUUACUUCCAGUUCAUCAUUUAGUCCAUUUUUCGUGUCCUCAGCUUCAUGGUAUUUUUGUUUUAUGAGCUAACUUUUCUUCAACCUUUUUCUAGGUUCUUGGUUGGGCUCAAGCCAUGCCUAAAUUUUCUACUGACCUUGUGAAGUAUGUUCAGACAUUUCUUGAGAGAACAUUUGAGAGAUGUCGAACAUCAUACAUGGAGGUAUGAAUCUUCACCGUUUCUCAUUUGUUUUCCUCUUCCUCUGACUAUUAUAAUCUAUUUAUAUGUCUGACAUCUGGUUUAGGGUUUUGCACCAUUAGAACAAAUCAUAGACUAAAAAGUAGGCUUGUAAGCACGAUAUGAUUUUUAAAACUCAGUUGGAGGUGUAUAAAUUAGAUUAAUAUGAUGGUGUCUUUAGAGUCUACAAUGUCAUGAACAUCGUGAAGCUAGCUAGAGUUCAGUUUGAGCUACGUGAAAACUGGCCUACUUGAUGAAGUAACUAUAGUAUUAUGUUUUAGGCUUUUGGCAGUGUCUUGCGUAGCCUACAGUGUAAAUGUAGGUUAUUAAGCAGCUUGUGAGAAGCCAUGUAGCAGAACUUGACAUUAAAUGCUUCAAGAAAUAAUCCUGAGAAAGUUUGAUUCAAAGAGAAAGGUGGUAGAGUAUGGUUUAGUCAAUCUUAAAUGCGCCUUUAUGUCCAUCUUUGAUAAAAAUUAGCAUUUCUCUUCACCAUUGUUUGCCUCAAGUGUCCCUAAAUCUAAAGUGAUGUAUCUCUUCCAUUGCGCACAAUUUUCUGAGCAUAAGUUUAAUUAUUUAUAUAUCAGGCUGUGCUUGAGAAGCUCAGUUACAGGCUUAUUGGGAGGCAUGAUAUUGAGAAAUUGAUGCGACUUGAUCCGGCGAGUGCUUGUUUGCCAGCUCUACUUGGCCAUUCUGUUUCUCACUCUGAGGCUGUUGGCUCCGACGUAGAACUCUGUGAACUAUUCUUAAGUUUGCCGUCUAUCAAGCAGGUAAAUUUCAUGUGUUAUCUGAAACAUAUUUAGUAAGAAAUUUUCCAUUUGGUUUAAGAUUAUUUAAAUAAGUGUGUUUCUUACAGGAUAGUCUAAUUCGUGACGACAACAAACUGAUUUUGUUAGCCUCUCUUAGCGACUCUCUUGAAUACGUAGCAGACUCUAUUGAGAGGUGAGUUCGUUGGAUCAGAUUCUUUAUGCAUGCCGCUUGUCUUGUUCGUAUCUGUCAGUACAUCUUAGAUGUUAUCAGGACAAAAAAUGGGAAGUCCUACGAGGAUUUUAUAAAAGAGGAAUAAAAACGAUAAAGCGACUAAACUAGAUUGAUUGCUGUCUUUUCCAUCUCAAGUUUAAAGAAACUUGCAUAGUUGGAUAUGUCUUCCUUCUCUAAGUAGCAAGCAAAUAAAAACUUAUUCUGAAGUCUUAAUUUCCCAAAAUCUUUAGGCUUGGACAAGCAGUUCCUCGUGCAGCAAGUCAAUCUGAAGAUAAUAGCAGGAAUCAAGCAACUUCUCCUAGGAACCUGGCAUCAUUUGCUGAUGAGUACAGAAAACUUGCGACUGAUUGCCUAAAGGUUCUACGUGUUGAGAUGCAAUUGGAAACAGUCUUUCAUCUUCAGGUAUGUGAUGGAUGUUUCCUUUGUUAAGAAGGUGCCAUGGCUAUGAUAAAUUCAGCAUGUGACAUGUAAAGCUUACGAAAUGCUAUGCUAUGGGUUGGGAUAGGAAAUGACGAAUCGAGAAUACUUGGAGGAUGAGGAUGCUGAAGAGCCCGACGACUUUGUGAUUUCUCUUACUUCACAGGUUAGUUAUAUCACUUUAAAAAGCCUUGUUUACUUUCAUAGUCAUGAGUCAUCAAAUAUUUGUAUCACUCUCUUCUGUUGAGAGAAUCUAGUUAACCAAAUGAUGAAGCCAUCUUAAUUUGUUUGUGAUGAAAUUACAUUCUUGUUUAGUGCACAAUCUUAUUUUGAAUUGGUUCUUUUCAACCUCUAUAUAUCUGCACCCAAGUGUUUAACACUUCCUCUUUUUUAUACAGAUAACACGUAGGGACGAGGGAAUGUCGCCUUUCAUCUCUGGUGAGAAGCGCAACUAUGUUUUUGGUGGCAUUUGUGGAAUUGCAGCGAAUGCGUCCAUUAAGGUACGCCUCUUCCUUUCAUAAGAUCUUUGGUACUUCUAAUUCAAAUGUCAAUAUUCCAUAUCACAGUUAUAUAUCUAACAUUUGAUCAUCAUCAUCUUCGAAACCAUUAAAAGUCUUUUAUUACGUAUUUUUGCUAGGCUUUGGCUGACAUGAGAUCGAUAAACCUUUUUGGAGUUCAGCAAAUUUGUCGGAACACUAUUGCAUUGGAACAGGUAAAGAUUAGUGUAUGUUUAGGUGUCGAGCUUAAUCAUUUCCAAUAGCAUUCACUUUCUACAUCUGUGUGUUAUUAUACAUGGCAGGCCAUGGCAGCUAUUCCAUAUGUUGAUGGUGAAAGCGUACAACAGAACCUAGAUCGUGUCCGUACUUACUUUGAACUACUAAACAUGCCAUUCGAGGUUAGUCAAAGAAACUAUCGUUUCCUCUUGGUUUUGUCCUUUGGCUUUUCUUAGCAUUCUUAUACUCAGAUGUUUGCCUGAUGUUCUACAGGCGUUGCUUACAUUCAUAGCGGAACAUGACCAAAUGUUUACACCCACAGAGUCUGCUUCUUAACUUUAUUUCCUUUUAAGCUUCUCACAUUGUGGCUAAUACAGUUUCUGACUUAUUGAAAUAAAAACUAUAUGGGCUUUGCAGGUAUUCUAAUCUUCUAAAGGUGAAUGUUCCUGGAAGAGAUACUCCUACAGAUGCUCAAUCUCGCCUUUCGGAAAUUCUUUCUCACUAAUACCAACUCCUCGAGCCAUUGUGGAUUACCACCGUGGAUAUAAAGACAAAGCUUCUCCAGCAGCCAUUAUGUUUCAUUAUUUUCAUAAGCUGCAGGAAAAAAUCACAAUGGCAAGAAACAUUGGAAUGUACAUCGUCUUGGUUCUUAUGCCGCGAUACUAGUUCGGUUCCAUUAAUUAUUUUGUUCACUUGUCUAGCUUCGUUUUGCCUUGUGGAAUACGGAACCAAGACCUUGCUUUGAUUUUGUCUAAAUUCUUUGGUAAAGAGAUUUCGUUUGUAUAAAACUUUCAAAGGUGAGGUCAUUUUAUCUUCCAAGUGAAAAACAAAGACUGAAAGUGAAAUUUACUCACUCUCAUUUGUGAUUGUAUUCUCGUAGACAGCAUGAAAUAAAUUGCUAUUGUCUAAAUAUUAUCAGAGUCUACUAGAAAAUAUAGCUCUCUACGUUGAAUAUGAGAAAAGGUGUGAAAUUCACAAUUUACUCUGUUUUAUCUGCGACCGACCAGAGACUGUUUCUGUCCUCCAUCGCAUCACAUCACAUCAAAGUUCUGUUUAAUCCAAUAAACAUUUGAGUAGUGGCAGUAUUAUUCCAUCCGUAUACCAUUUAUUCCUCAUCUCUAGUGGCUAGUACCCAAGAGCCACCAACAAUUGGGAAAUAGAAGAAAAUAAUAAAUUCAAAUAGAGUAGUUUUUAAAUUUUUCUCAGAUGCAGGCAGCUUCAGUUGUGUUUGCCAUCGUGAAACUGUGCGUUUUUGGAAGACUUGAAUGUCUGAAGAAACUCUUUAGCCUUCUGCAUCUCCUGCUUCUCCCUCGACUUGUCCCACUUGUGUUCACUCGCUAGAAUCUCCACCACACGCUGCAACGCCCUCGCCGCCGCGUCUGUGUCCAAGAACGCUAUUCUACAUCUCCUCGCUAUAAAAUCAACCGCUGACUCGCAGUACUCGUGCCUUGCACAGUACGCAACCUCUGCUUCAAGAAACGGAUGUCCAUGCGCCAACCGUUUCCCCAAACCCUCCUCCUACAUCAAAUAACCAAAAUCAUAAACCGGACCUAAACGUUAUGAAGAUAAAAGAACCGAACCUGAGCUAUGGUGGCGACUCGUUCAGCCAUCGAACCGUAUGCAUGAGACAAAUGCUUUGCAGCAGCUGUGUCCAUUGCUCCAGGAACCACUUUACCACCAUAUGUUUUCUUCAUGCGCACGUAUUGCUGCGCAAGAGCUGUGAAAGAAGAUGGUUCCCAUCCAUGAGAACCAAGAAGCUGUAGCUUCUGUGUUACGCAUCCAUUGGUUGGACUCAGCUUCCCUGAUUUGAUUGCUGCAUUAACCGCAUCUUCAGCCAUACUGAAACAAAUUUACAAAUCAAUGAGCAACAAUAACACAACUUUUUUUAAACCAUGCUUACCAUUUUUAAAGAUUUUUUUAAUUGUUUUUUUUCCAUAAGUUUGGAUACUUAUUAUGAGAUUUAUGGAGGACCCGCUCUGAGAUUUAUGGGGCUAUAAACAUUUUUUUAAGAAUUUUUUUAAUUUUUUUCCCAUAAUUUUGGAGGCCCUGCCUGCUAGUUUAAACAGCUCCCUCACCUUCGAUAAGUUGUCCAUUUUCCACCAGUGAUAGUGACCAGACCAGGAUGUUCCUCGAAGACAACGUGGUCUCUUGAGAUACUCUCUGUGCUCUUUGCAGUUGGAUCCAUAGCCAACGGACGUAUACCACUCCAAGCCGAGAGAACAUCAGUACGUCGAACCUAGUGAAACAUCAUAAUGUCAUGAUCCAUAAUUAAAUUGAUUAUUCAUUCAUCUCUGAGCUGAACUUGGACAUACCUUAAUGUUAAGAUAGUCACUUAUUGCAUCCAAUAUAAACUGAAUCUCAUCCUCAUGAGGUUCAGGAAGCGGAGUUAUUGACGUGUUAGAGUCUGUAGUCCCAGCUACCGUUCUUCCCAACCACGGUAACAUGAACACAACGCGACCAUCCUUAGUUUUAGGAACUAUCAAACCCAUCCCUUCUGGUGAAUAGUAAUCAGGCAGCACAAUGUGUACACCGCUGCUUGGACAUAUCAUAGGCUUUGUAUCUUCAUCAACCAUCUUCCUUAUGGAAUCACAGAACGGUCCAGCCGCAUUAACUACUACUCUCGCAUAGCUCUCAAACUCUUUGCCUGUCAAAACAAAAAAAGUUCUAAAAAUCAGUCUAGACGGCAUCUAGACAAAUACCUUCCUACUAUGCCAACAAUCGGACCUACACCAAACGAUUUUUCUUGUAAAUUGGCUUAGGUGUUCAAAAAAUCAGCCUAUGCACCCGCCUAAUUCAUAAUCUCCUAUAAACGCCUAAUUGCCGGUCUAGACGCCCGCCUAAUCAAUAAUCUCCUAUAAAAUACCUAAUUACCGCCUGCCUAUCAAUGAUUUUUUUUUUUAAUAUAUUUUACAUUGCGUCAAUCACAUCAAAAUCUCUUAUAAAACGCCUAAUUACUGCCUAUCCAUAUUUUUUUGAUGUUUUUACAUUGUCCAUCACAUUAAAAUCUCCUAUAAAACGCCUACCUAUCGAUUUUUUGUGAUAUUUUUACAUUGCGUCCAUCACAUUAACUGCAGAAGUUAUAUACUAAACUCAAUAAGUUGCAAGUUAUUGUACUACCUGUGAGAUUGUUACGAACCCUGGCACCAACUAUUCUCUUGGUAUCAUCAUCCGUAAUAAGCGAGACAACCUCAGCGUGAUUAAGAACCGCAGCACCAGCUAAAGAAGCAGUACAAGCCAACCCAACGUUCAGACGCGAAUCAUUCAUCUGCCCGUCGUAAUACACAACAGUCCCCCUCAAGCUCUUGUCCUUCCCUUUCCUCGCGAGAGUAGGGAAGAGCUCAGCAGACUCUUGCGCAGAGUAGUACCUAGACAGAUGCAACAACCGCGGUCCCGCCACCAAGUCGUACAUCUUCAGCCCCAUCCAGUAGUAGACCACUUCGAACCAGUCGAAACAAGGUGUCAUACACGGGAGCGCGUGGCAGAGAUGGGGCGCGUUCUCGAUGAGCUGUUUACGCUCCUCGAGCGCGUGGAAGACAAGCUUUAGCUGUCCGUAGUCGAGAUUGAACACAGCUUUCUCCAAGUAACGAACUCCUAAUCAAAUAAAUAUUUAGUUAUAAAAAAUAAGAACAAGAUUAAAUGAAAAUAAUAUUCCCUCUGUUCAUAAAAUAUCUAUAUUCUAGUUUUUUCACACAUUUUAAUAAAAUAUAUUAAAUUUGCAUAUUUUUUUGUGUCUAUUUUUUUUCCACAAUUUUAAGCCAAUAAAAAAAAUAAUUAGUGCAAUUAAGAUUUUUGAAGUUUGUAAUUAGUUAAUAAAACAUGCAUUGAAAAUGUAAAAAAUGAAUCUUUUAGAAACAAAAUUUUUCUUUAUAAUAUAUACUCCCUCUGUUUCAAUAUAGAUGAUGUUUUAGGUGAUUGUUUUUGUUUCACAAUAGAUGAUGUUUUCACAUAUCUAGGUAACUUUAACUUUAUCAAAAACUGUGUAGCCAAUUGUGUUUUUAUUAUUUUUGUUUAUAAUUAAAUAAAUUAGUUUAAAAUUAUAUUUUAAUGAUUUUAUGUUUAGAAAAGAUAAUUUUUUAAUAUGUGUGCAAAGUACUAAAACUUCAUCUAUUAUGAAACGGAGGGAGUAUCUUUAAGGAACGGGAAGAGGAGUAUUUAUUAAUCGAGUUAUUAGAAUUAUGUACACAAACUAAAUAUAAAAUCAUUUAAUUAAAAUGUAGAGUUACUUAUCUAACCAACCAUUAUCUAACUAACCAAUAGAAAAACAAUCUAUAAAAUAUAAAAAAUUAAUAGAUGAUCUUACUUACCUCCAUGGAUUAGCUUGGUUGAACGUGAAGACGUCCCCGAGGAGAAAUCCUCGCGCUCCACGAGACCUACGCGGAGUCCACGUGUCGCAGCGUCGAGAGCCACUCCAGAGCCGGUGGCUCCACCGCCAAUCACGAGGACGUCGAGCGGAUUAGAAGAGGUGGCUUUGAUGAGAGCAGACUCUUGAGCGGAUCGAGACGGCACGGAGGCGGAGGGAUCGCCGAGAGUACGAUUCAACGAAUCUAGAACCGGACCGCCGCCGGCUCUGUCGCUGGAGGCAACGGAGGGGGAGAGGUAGACGGCGCCGCCGGAUGCAGCGGCGAUUACGGCGGCGGAGACGGCUAAACGGCGGACGGAAGAGACUGACAUGGAAGAUCGUGGAGGGAAUGGAUUGCAUUGGGAAGCGAAGAAGAUUAUGAAUGAAAAAUCCACUGUAAUAACAAAUUAUCCUUAAAUUACGUUUUUCACCCUUUCGGAUAAAUGUGCGGUGAGUUGAUGAAGGGUGUUUUCGUCAUUUAGUUAGAUAGAAAUCCGAGUUCUAAGGAACAGUUUGUUGACUUUUUACUUAACAAUGUUUUAAGAAAUGGUUUGUGUUAAUGGUCGAAUCAUAUUUACGUUGUUAGUUAAUACUACUACUACUCGGUAUUACCUGAAAGAUACUAACGACAUGUUUGGUCUGAACAUUCUGUUUUUUUUUUUAACCACAAAAAAUUUAUUAAUUAAAUUGUAAAAAGUGAAUACAAAUACUGAAUCAACCAAACGGGAGGAGGAUCAAAGAAUAUGUAUGAAAUAUUAUGAUCAUUAGCUUCUUUUGUCUGAACAUUUUGUUUUUUUUUUUCUAAAAGAAAAUUAAGCGAAUAACACUUUCUGAUUAAUAUAUAAAGGAUUUUUAAUUAUUAACUAGUCUUAACUUGUGAGUCUACAAUAACAAAUACUCAUUUUGUUUUUUAAUAUAAAUCGUUUUAAAAUUAUGCACAUAGAUUAAAAAAAAUCAUUAAAUUUUUAUAUUUUCUAAACAAAAACAUCACUAAUUAUUUAUCUAAGCAUAAAUUAAUCAAUAAUAAAAUAGAAGGUAAAUUAUUAUUGAUCAUAUAAUAUUAAAUAUUAAUAAAUUUUACAUAAAAAUCUGAAAACGUCAUAUAAUUUAGAACAUAAAAAAUUUUCUAAAACAACUUAUAUUAUAUUAAAAAACGGAGGAAGUAAUAAUCAUGAAGGAUCGGUACAUUUAUUAGGGUCUGGACUUGGUCUUCCUCUAGGGAGGAAUGGUGUUCAACCACAGUAAAACACUGAGAACAAGACUUGUGGAAUAUGCCAAUAUCUAUAGUGGUUUGAGUUUUCGAAGAGAAAUGCUUCCAUGAUCAAAUUUUUUAUGUUUUUCAUAUUCCUAUCGUUCAAAUUUAAUCUGUUGGGUCAGCUUAAGGGACAAAAGAAAAAUAGAGAUUGUGAAAGCAAUGAACAUGACUGGUCACAAGAUUCCAUUAACAAACACAAAAGCAGGAGGAGGACACACACAUAACAAUUGUCUCAACUUAAAACACUGCUUAAGUAGUUCAACUUAAUAAUGUCUCCCAAAAUACUAAAACAGUGAAAUGAAAACGUAGUAGAUAAGAGUGAUAAUCAACUCAAUUGUGGUUGUUGCGAGGAGGUGGUGAGACACGGACUUUGAGAACACCAAACUCUGCAUCCCAAGCGAUGUCGUGGCUCAGAAGCGGAAUCCCAAAGGAGCAACACUGACGAUUGCUGAUGGCUCCAAGGAAGAUACGGCAACUCUCGUCAUGCUCAUACACCUCCUUGUUCUCACCGUAGAACUUGAUCUCGUUCUGGUUGGGAAUCACGAAGACGUCGUCGCUGCAGACACCAGGCAUGUCCACCGAGAAGCGAAAACAUCCAUCAGAUGUUCGGUUGGUAGCCAACGUGUCCUUGCGACCUUUCACCACAUAGGGAUGUUCCUCCACUUCAACCAUGACAAGUGAGUUCACAUCGUAUCUCCCAGAUUUGCCUAUCAAAACGAAGAGUAGUAUAUAAAGAAGCAUUAACGGUUUAGAUUGGUUAUGUUGUUAAUUCAUUUCCGGUUUAGAACCGUUGAUUCGGUUUACUUUGUUCUAUAAAAGUCAAACCUUGUAACUGAAUCUGUAACCAAAAAUGAAUGAAGAUUACUUUUUCAUUCGAUCAUUCUCAGAAUAGUAAUAGUAUUACACUAAUGGAGGCAAAUUAAAAGGUGUGGUAUUGAAGGAGAUUCGAACCUGCGUUAGGAGGGAGAAAGUGAGUACACUUGUUGUUGUUGUUGUCAUGAUGGUCUUUGACUUUGACCCUAGUGAGAAUCAUCCUCAAGACUCCAUCUUUCAUCUUGGCAUCGACGCCGGUGAUCUCGCAGCAGUCGCAGCCCAUACCGGCGGUUCCAGAGUACUCGCGAACGUCGUGGGCGUUGUCUCCGUCGCCGAGAACUUCCUCGCCGGAGAAAAAGACAACCUUUUGUCUCACGGCGUCGACUCUGUGGCGGAUGGCGUCGUCAGGAACGCCGGGGAGGUCGACGCGGACGUAGAGGUCGUCGUUGGGGAGGAUCUUGGUUUCCAUGAAACCCUUUGGACCGUACCUCUGGUAAGGGUUGUUGGUCGCGUGCAACCUCCCUGAGAGUCAAAAAAACAAACAAGAGAUUUUUAAAGCUCUCAGUAAAGUAGGAAACUUUGUUAACAAGUUUCGUGUUCAGUAGAGCCAAAGAAGAGAGUAAAGAUUGAAACUUUACUUUCCCCGAGGAUCAAAAAGAUGCGACGUUUCAUUUGUAGAACAAAUGUAAUAAAGGAGACGAAGAGAUUAGGAGAAAGAAAGAAAGAGUGAGACAGACCAGGGAUGUGGGGAAUCCUCGACAAGUCAAUGCAUGCUGCCAUCUCUCUCUCUUCUUCUUCUUCUUUCUCUGUAUUUACUCUCUCUGAAAAUGGAUUAUGAUUUUGUUGUUUGAUAUAGGAGGGGGGCUCUUUGACUGGUCAUCGCUUGCUUAAUGUUACCUUUUUAAACAUUUUAACCACUGUUAAAAUAAUUGCUUACCGUGGUAAGAACCCGGUACGAUAGAGCUGUCCAGUGUCGUCUCUUUUUACUGCCUACAGCUCAACCUUCGGUGUCUUUUUGAAUGCGACAAAAUAGAGAAAUGAGGGAAACUCGUCUCUCUCUCUCUCGCUUUAUUUCCAACUUUUUACACAAGUUACAUUAAUGCAUAUGCAAGACGUCAAUGAUUCCAUUCUCUGAGGUUAAAACAGAGCUGUCAAACUUCUUUUUUUUUACUAAUUUUCACAUAAGACAAACACAGAAGUUAACAAUGCAAUGCAACGUCUCUUUUCCUUGUUUUUGAAUCAAACGUUUUUAGAUGUUUAUCCCCCCACAUGUUUCCAAGUUCAUUUUUAUGGCUAAUUAGAGUGUCAUAAACAUUGUUCUAUAAAUAUUUUCUUCUAAGCAUAACUAUUGUAAAUAUCUUGAAGCUUUUGGUCCCCAAGAAUUGCAAUAUUUAUUCCAAAACUAUGUAAUGUAAGUUGUAGUAAACAACACUACUAUCUCAAUACAACUGAACUUUGCUUCUUCUUCUUCUCAUUUCCAAAUGAU